rnacentral:misc_RNA from 1 species
UCCGGUUUGGCACCGGCAGUCCUCCCAGAGUCCCCGCCAUGACGCGCUGGCAACUGGGAGCGGGGGUUGCGCUCGUUGCGGGACUUAACCCAACAUCUCACGACACGAGCUGACGACAGCCAUGCAGCACCUGUCUAGGGACUCCGAAGAGGGGCCCCGGUUUCUCGAGGCUUUCCCCUAGAUGUCAAGCCCAGGUAAGGUUCUUCGCGUUGCGUCGAAUUAAACCACAUGCUCCACCGCUUGUGCGGGCCCCCGUCAAUUCCUUUGAGUUUCAGCCUUGCGGCCGUACUCCCCAGGCGGGGCACUUAAUGCGUUAGCGCCGGCACUCAGGGGGUCGCUCCCCCAAGCACCUAGUGCCCAUCGUUUACGGCGUGGACUAC